UACGAAGGGGGCUAGCGUUGCCCGGAAUUACUGGGCGUAAAGGGUGCGUAGGCGGGCUUUUAAGUCAGGGGUGAAAUCCUGGAGCUCAACUCCAGAACUGCCUUUGAUACUGAAGAUCUUGAGUUCGGGAGAGGUGAGUGGAACUGCGAGUGUAGAGGUGAAAUUCGUAGAUAUUCGCAAGAACACCAGUGGCGAAGGCGGCUCACUGGCCCGAUACUGACGCUGAGGCACGAAAGCGUGGGGAGCAAACAGG
rnacentral:rRNA from 1 species